AUGGACCACGCGUCACUGCGGUUCUGAGUGCGCUGCCCAUCCCCGCCCAACGACUGUUCGCGACGUGUUGUCAGCC
rnacentral:sRNA from 1 species